CAACCUGGCUGCCGGUCACACGUCACCGAUCAUGAGCGCCUAACCUCAGUCAUCCAGCUAUCUGCUAAUUGCGGAUGCGUAUCUCCUCUUGCCAAAUCCAAAUGGGAUGGAUGCAUAGGGAUGAAAACUCUGAUCCUUGUGAAGCCAUCGUUUGGGCUGAAAGCAGUCAGGAUUGGGGAAGACUUCCUUAUCUCGUGAGGUUGCAUAGUGACACAGCGUAAUCAGAGUCUGUUUAGAAGAUUGAAGACCAUUCAGAAUUAUUGAGGCACCAUCAGAACAAUGAUCAGCUAUCAAAACACAUGGACACCAUGAGGGUGCAGCAGUAUUUCCAUGCAGUGUACCUCAAACAGACACAGGUGGUAGUUCACAUCUUCAAGGUCAGAAUUUGUACUUGCGUCUUGCAGACACAAAUUCUUGGGUGCAACAACAGAGAUGCUGGACAGAAGAUGAAACAUAUCAAAGGGACACCCACGUUAACAAGAGGGCUGCCUGAAUGUCUGAGUGCCUGGACAACUCAUAUAAUGUCCACGACAUCGUGCUGGAAAUCUAUAGGAAACAGAGAGAAAGGGAGCAAUGUGAUACUGGUGCUGAAAGGAAGGCGAACCACCUAGUGUAGCAAUGAGUGAUACAGGAUUGGAUGCCCUUAGGGAUUUGAUGCGAUCUACAACGUAGUCAGAUACCUUCACUCGGAUUUCGAGACCCAGAAUCAAUGAAUUGGGAAACAGACGAGAUAACUCAACUGUGGAAACAAAAAGUACUUGAAAACACUUCAAAAUUUCACUCAACAAUAACACUGGUGCUUCAAUUGAAAAGCACCCGAAACCUAAGAAUGACUACACCCAAUAAACCUCCCCCACUCACUAAUCAAAGACAUGAUCCGCCAUAGGAUUGGAAUGAGCACGCUGCCGGUAAAAUCGUUUCUGAGGAGCCGGUACCGCCAUGAUCGCCGAUUCGGUGAAGGGGCAGCCGGGAUUUUAACUGAAAAUGACAGCACGAGAGCGGCGCACUGUUCGCGAUCGUGAAAGUGCGUCAUCACCGAGCGCCCGAGUGUGUCAUGUGAGCUUUUCUUUUCAGUUACUUCAGCAACGGGUAGUUUACUUCAGAUUGCGAGGGAUUUGUCCAAAACGGAAAGAAAAUGGGUUAUUCUGUAAUUUGUUAUUAUUGAAGAACAGUCCGUGAACAUUACAAUACCAGGACAGGCUGCUGGUGUGAGGAUUAGAGAAGACCUUUAAGUGCUCAAGAGACAGUCAUCCAUGAAAAACCAAUUCAAAAUUUGCUUCCUUUCCUUCUUGAAUCGAAAUUGUGAAGACCCUCAGUGUGAAUCUCAGUAACAGGCAGGCACUAGUGGGGAGCUAAGGAACGAAAGGACCAUCAGCAGUCUGGAGAUUGCAAAUUGGACUUACCAAUCUUCUCAGAACCCAUCAAGCCACAGUGGAAACAAGUCAACCCUGAGUCAGAGGAGCUACUUAAGACAUACUGGCAAGAAAUGUCCGAAGAAACCUAAUUCUGGCUCUGGAUUCCUACAGGCAACUAAGAUUCACUUAAAGUCAUUUCAGUGGAAGUGAGGGCUUGCUAUACUGAAUAGUUUCCCUUGUCUGGAGAGUUUAGAGCAAUGGAUCAUAAUCUCAGGAUAAGGGAUCAGCCAGUUAAGACCCAAGAUGAGAAGUUUCUUCACUUUAUCUUUGGAGUUCUCUAUUCAAGAGCUUUGGAUGCCCAGUCAGAUCAGGACAAUGGGAACCCUGGCUGACUCCACACUCCUCCCUCACCCAAGGGACUUCAACUAUAGAGCCUCUGGUACACUUCAAAGUUAAGAUCAGCGAAUGCUACAGACUGGAAAUGAAACCUGGAAUCUCAUUAGCUUGUACAACUCAGAUGUUCUUUGUUGCUCUACUAGUAUCUGAAAAGUCACCUGCUUCUCCAUAGAGAAUAUCCCGAUUAGCCUCGAGGCAGAACUAAAGUACUGUGUACAAGACAACAAAUCCCAAUGGACAUUGCAUGGAGAAGGUCAGGCUGAUACGUUCACUGAGAAUCAAUACAAGCAGAAGGAACAAGACUGGAAUCCGUCAGAAAAUUCGCAGCUCCAAAAUGAAGCCUUAAAUUGCUAUCUAUCAGAAAAUCAUUGAGACAAUUGUUUGGCGAUAGACAACAUUUUCUAGAUGGAUGACAAGCAGAAAUGUAGCACUCAUCAGAAAUCAAUCCACAGCACGAUUUAAAGAGGGACAGUUUCUGCAGUCAAGCAGAGGGGCACAGAACGAAU